rnacentral:lncRNA from 1 species
UAACAACCCAGCUGUCUGACAUUCUUCUAUAUAAACAAUCAGAGCCCCAAGGAUCCAAGUAAGUUUAAUCAAACCCCUCUCAAAGAAUCCAUUGCUGCUCUCUUUGUUCUCUAUUUUUUUGACUUGAGCAUCGGAGGGUCUUCGUCAGAGCCACAACCUCUGGUUUGAGACUUGUCUUGCAGGUCACUCCAGUGCCAGCAUCCCUGCAUGAGGAUCAGGCAUCCAUCUUCUAACCUCGAUCGAUUUAAGUAGCAAC